GACGAACGCUGGCGGCGUGCUUAACACAUGCAAGUCGAACGGAAAGGCCCUGCUUUUGUGGGGUGCUCGAGUGGCGAACGGGUGAGUAACACGUGAGUAACCUGCCCUUGACUUUGGGAUAACUUCAGGAAACUGGGGCUAAUACCGGAUAGGUGCUCCUGCUGCAUGGUGGGGGUUGGAAAGUUUCGGCGGUUGGGGAUGGACUCGCGGCUUAUCAGCUUGUUGGUGGGGUAGUGGCUUACCAAGGCUUUGACGGGUAGCCGGCCUGAGAGGGUGACCGGCCACAAUGGGACUGAGAGACGGCCCAGAAGCCUACGGGAGGCAGCAGGGGGGAAUAUUGCACAAUGGGCGGAAGCCUGAUGCAGCAACGCCGCGUGCGGGAUGACGGCCUUCGGGUUGUAAACAGCUUUCGAAUGUGACGAAGCGUGAGUGACGGUAAUGGGUAAAGAAGCACCGGCUAACUACGUG
rnacentral:rRNA from 1 species